rnacentral:tRNA from 1 species
GCGGAUGUGGCGGAAUUGGCAGACGCGCUAGACUUAGGAUCUAGUGCCGCAAGGCGUGUGGGUUCAAGUCCCUCCAUCCGCACCA